rnacentral:rRNA from 1 species
AACGAACGCUGGCGGCAUGCCUAACACAUGCAAGUCGAACGAGACCUUCGGGUCUAGUGGCGCACGGGUGCGUAACGCGUGGGAACCUGCCCUUAGGUUCGGAAUAACUCCCCGAAAGGGGUGCUAAUACCGGAUAAUGUCUUCGGACCAAAGAUUUAUCGCCUUUGGAUGGGCCCGCGUUGGAUUAGCUAGUUGGUAGGGUAAAAGCCUAUCAAGGCGACGAUCCAUAGCUGGUCAGAGAGGAAGAUCAGCCACACUGGGACUGAGACACGGCCCAGACUACUACGCGAGGCAGCAGUGGCGAAUAUUGGAAAAUGGGCGAAAGCCUGAUCCAGCAAUGCCGGGUGAGUGAUGAAGGCCUUAAGGUUGUAAAGCUCUUUUACCCGGGAUGAUAAUGGCAGUACCGGGAGAAUAAGCUCCGGCUAACUCCGUG